AUUGAACGCUGGCGGCAUGCCUUACACAUGCAAGUCGAACGGCAGCGGACCUUCGGGUGCCGGCGAGUGGCGAACGGGUGAGUAAUAUAUCGGAACGUACCUUUCAGUGGGGGGAUAACGUAGCGAAAGUUACGCUAAUACCGCAUAUUCUGUGAGCAGGAAAGCAGGGGAUCGCAAGACCUUGCGCUGAUUGAGCGGCCGAUAUCAGAUUAGCUAGUUGGUGAGGUAAAGGCUCACCAAGGCGACGAUCUGUAGCGGGUCUGAGAGGAUGAUCCGCCACACUGGAACUGAGACACGGUCCAGACUCCUACGGGAGGCAGCAGUGGGGAAUUUUGGACAAUGGGCGCAAGCCUGAUCCAGCCAUGCCGCGUGAGUGAAGAAGGCCUCGG
rnacentral:rRNA from 1 species